rnacentral:snRNA from 1 species
GGGGAAUUACGCGCUUCAGCCC